UCGAGAAUAUUCCACAAUGGACGAAAGUCUGAUGGAGCGACGCCGCGUGCAGGAUGAAGGUUUUCGGAUUGUAAACUGCUUUUGUAAGGGAAGAAUUUCGAUGACGGUACCUUACGAAUAAGAGGUUACUAACUCUGUGCCAGCAGUAGCGGUAAUACAGAGACCUCAAGCGUUAUCCGGAUUUAUUGGGCGUAAAGCGCAAGUAGGCGGACAUGUUAGUCAGAUGUCAAAUCCUCCGACUCAAUCGGAGAACUGCAUUUGAAACGGCAUGUCUAGAGGGAAUGAGAGAUCUAUGGAACUCAUGGUGUAGCAGUGAAAUGCGUCGAUAUCAUGAGGAACACCAAAGGCGAAGGCAUUAGAUUGGCAUUUUCCUGACGCUCAGUUGCGAAAGCGUGGGUAG
rnacentral:rRNA from 1 species